UAGCCUAGUGGUUAAGGCUAUGGAUCGCCAAACCAGAGACGGCGGGUUCGAUUCCCGC
rnacentral:tRNA from 1 species